rnacentral:rRNA from 1 species
UACGUAGGCAGCAAGCGUUGUUCGGAAUUACUGGGCGUAAAGAGUGUGUAGGCGGUGCUCUAAGUUCGGUGUGAAAUCUCCCGGCUCAACUGGGAGGGUGCGCCGGAAACUGGAAUGCUUGAGCGUGGGAGAGGAAAGCGGAAUUCCUGGUGUAGCGGUGAAAUGCGCAGAUAUCAGGAAGAACACCCGUGGCGGAAGGCGGCUCUCUGGGACGGGUA